UGAGGAAUAUUGGUCAAUGGGCGAGAGCCUGAACCAGCCAAGUCGCGUGAAGGAAGAAGGAUCUAUGGUUCGUAAACUUCUUUUGCAGGGGAAUAAAGUGCAGGACGUGUCCUGUUCUGUAUGUACCCUGAGAAUAAGGAUCGGCUAACUCCGUGCCAGCAGCCGCGGUAAUACGGAGGAUCCGAGCGUUAUCCGGAUUUAUUGGGUUUAAAGGGUGCGUAGGUGGUUUGAUAAGUCAGCGGUGAAAGUUUGCAGCUUAACUGUAAAAAUGCCGUUGAAACUGUCGGACUUGAGUGUAAAUGAGGUAGGCGGAAUGCGUGGUGUAGCGGUGAAAUGCAUAGAUAUCACGCAGAACUCCGAUUGCGAAGGCAGCUUACUAAGCUACAACUGACACUGAAGCACGAAAGCGUGGGGAUCAAACA
rnacentral:rRNA from 1 species